rnacentral:rRNA from 1 species
UACGUAGGGCGCGAGCGUUGUCCGGAAUUAUUGGGCGUAAAGAGCUCGUAGGCGGCCGGUUGCGUCUGCUGUGAAAUCCCGGGGCUUAACCCCGGGCGUGCAGUGGAUACUGGCCGGCUGGAGGCAGGCAGGGGAGAAUGGAAUUCCCGGUGUAGCGGUGAAAUGCGCAGAUAUCGGGAGGAACACCGGUGGCGAAGGCGGUUCUCUGGGCCUGUACUGACGCUGAGGAGCGAAAGCGUGGGGAGCGAACAGG